rfam:Enterococcus sp. 9E7_DIV0242 scaffold00001, whole genome shotgun sequence.
AAGGCAGGACAAUGGUGGGCCAGUGAAGCGUGUCAGAUCUGGAAGGAAGCAGCACUAAGCAGGUGCCACCAUGUGUCUGUAUAUAA